rnacentral:rRNA from 1 species
UACGUAGGUGGCAAGCGUUGUCCGGAAUUAUUGGGCGUAAAGCGCGCGCAGGCGGCCUCUUAAGUCUGAUGUGAAAGCCCCCGGCUCAACCGGGGAGGGCCAUUGGAAACUGGGACGGCUUGAGUAUAGGAGAGAAGAGUGGAAUUCCACGUGUAGCGGUGAAAUGCGUAGAGAAUGUGGAGGAACACCAGUGGCGAAGGCGACUCUUUGGCCUAUAACUGACGCUGAGGCGCGAAAGCGUGGGGAGCAAACAGG